rnacentral:rRNA from 1 species
GACGAACCGGACAAACGUUAUUCGGAAUUACUGGGCUUAAAGGGUUUGUAGGCGGCCUUGUAAGUCAGGUGUGAAAUCCCUCGGCUCAACCGAGGAAUGGCGCUUGAUACUGCACGGCUUGAGGGAGACAGGGGUAAGCGGAACUGAUGGUGGAGCGGUGAAAUGCGUUGAUAUCAUCAGGAACACCGGUGGCGAAAGCGGAUCUCUGGGCCGUAACUGACGCUGAGGAGCGAAAGCAUGGGUAGCGAACAGG